rnacentral:rRNA from 1 species
GUUUGAUCCUGGCUCAGGACGAACGCUGGCGGCGUGCCUAAUACAUGCAAGUCGAGCGCGGGAAGCGAGUGGAAGUCCUUCGGGACGGAUACUCGUGGAACGAGCGGCGGACGGGUGAGUAACACGUGGGCAACCUACCUGUAAGACCGGAAUAACCCCGGGAAACCGGGGCUAAUGCCGGGUAACCAUUCGGUUCUCCUGAACCGAAUGUAAAAGGAUGGCUUCUUGCUAUCGCUUACAGAUGGGCCCGCGGCGCAUUAGCUAGUUGGUAAGGUAACGGCUUACCAAGGCGACGAUGCGUAGCCGACCUGAGAGGGUGAUCGGCCACACUGGGACUGAGACACGGCCCAGACUCCUACGGGAGGCAGCAGUAGGGAAUCUUCCGCAAUGGACGAAAGUCUGACGGAGCAACGCCGCGUGAACGAUGAAGGUCUUCGGAUCGUAAAGUUCUGUUGUGAGGGAAGAACAAGGACCGUGCGAACAGA